CCUCUCAAACCAGGGAUCACAACCUGGAACAGACAGAUGCCUUGUUCCUGUUCUGGCCCUGCCAUGGGUCCUGGGCUUCUCCACUGCAUAACCCUGUGUCUCCUUGUAGCAAGUCCUGUGAGUGCUAUGGUCAUGCAGAACCCAAGAUACCAGAUUACCAGGGUGGGGAAGCCAGUGACACUGAAUUGUUCUCAGACUCUGAAUCAUGAUACCAUGUACUGGUACCAACAGAAACCAAGCCACGCACCAAAGCUGUUGCUCUACUACUACGAUGAUCAAUUGAAUAAGCAAACAGACACUUCAGAUAACUUCCAAGCUAGCCGGCCUAAAACUUCUUUGUGUUCCCUUGACGUCCGCUCAGCUGGCCUGGAGGACUCAGCAGUGUACCUGUGUGCCAGCAGCAGAGACACAGAGGCACAGGGUUACCUCCCCUCUACUCAGAAACCUCUUUGUUUCCCAGAUCCGGGUGCUUUCUCCAGAACCACCUCUUCCCUCCCACAACAAUAG